AUUGAACGCUGGCGGCAGGCCUAACACAUGCAAGUCGAGCGGAUGAAGGGAGCUUGCUCCUGGAUUCAGCGGCGGACGGGUGAGUAAUGCCUAGGAAUCUGCCUGGUAGUGGGGGAUAACGUCCGGAAACGGGCGCUAAUACCGCAUACGUCCUGAGGGAGAAAGUGGGGGAUCUUCGGACCUCACGCUAUCAGAUGAGCCUAGGUCGGAUUAGCUAGUUGGUGGGGUAAAGGCCUACCAAGGCGACGAUUCGUAACUGGUCUGAGAGGAUGAUCAGUCACACUGGAACUGAGACACGGUCCAGACUCCUACGGGAGGCAGCAGUGGGGAAUAUUGGACAAUGGGCGAAAGCCUGAUCCAGCCAUGCCGCGUGUGUGAAGAAGGUCUUCGGAUUGUAAAGCACUUUAAGUUGGGAGGAAGGGCAGUAAGUUAAUACCUUGCUGUUUUGACGUUACCAACAGAAUAAGCACCGGCUAACUUCGU
rnacentral:rRNA from 1 species